rnacentral:rRNA from 1 species
AUUGAGUUUGAUCCUGGCUCAGAUUGAACGCUGGCGGCAUGCCUUACACAUGCAAGUCGAACGGCAGCACGGGAGCAAUCCUGGUGGCGAGUGGCGAACGGGUGAGUAAAGUAUCGGAACGUGCCCAGUCGUGGGGGAUAACGUAGCGAAAGUUACGCUAAUACCGCAUACGAUCUAUGGAUGAAAGCGGGGGAUCGCAAGACCUCGCGCGAUUGGAGCGGCCGAUAUCAGAUUAGGUAGUUGGUGGGGUAAAGGCUCACCAAGCCGACGAUCUGUAGCUGGUCUGAGAGGACGACCAGCCACACUGGGACUGAGACACGGCCCAGACUCCUACGGGAGGCAGCAGUGGGGAAUUUUGGACAAUGGGCGCAAGCCUGAUCCAGCCAUGCCGCGUGCAGGAUGAAGGCCUUCGGGUUGUAAACUGCUUUUGUACGGAACGAAAAGGUUUGGCCUAAUAAGCUGAGCUCAUGACGGUACCGUAAGAAUAAGCACCGGCUAACUACGUGCCAGCAGCCGCGGUAAUAAU